UUUGGAAUCAAAAGAGAUAGCUUGUGUACUUGAGGCUGCAAAAGCCGAUUUGAUGGUAGGAUUGAAGCAAAGAGAAGCCGAUCUUUGCAAAUUGAAAUUAGAAGAAACAGAGGAUGGAUUGUGCGACUUCAGAGUCUGGUUCGACAUCCUCAGUAAAAACUCGAAAGAUGUCCCCAAGGAAACCAAAAAAGGAAUGCCAAGAUGCAAGGAUUGUGGCUCAAAGU